rnacentral:rRNA from 1 species
UACGAGGGGGGCGAGCGUUGUUCGGAAUUAUUGGGCGUAAAGGGUGCGUAGGCGGUUUGGUAAGUCUUGUGUGAAAUCUACAGGCUCAACUUGUAGUCUGCACGAGAAACUGCCGGGCUUGAGUGUGGGAGAGGUGAGUGGAAUUCCUGGUGUAGCGGUGAAAUGCGUAGAUAUCUGGAGGAACACCGGUGGCGAAAGCGCGAGACUGGGCCAUAACUGACGCUGAGGAACGAAAGCCAGGGGAGCGAAAGGG